AUCAUGACCUGAGCCGAAGGCAGUCGCUUAACCAACUGAGCCACCCAGGCGCCCUAAGUAUGCAGUUUGAAUUGAGUUUCAUUUAUGAUAUCUUUACCCCAGUCCAUCUCACGUUGACUACAGCCAUGCCUUCCGCAUCUAUACCAAUGAGAUCUAGGAGUGUCAUCUGUAUCAGCUACAAUCUGAAUAAGUAGGACACCCAGUAGACAAGAAAUCCUCUUUCCUGCACGUUUUGUAACCAAGGAGCUUUCAAAGUGAGGGAGCUUUCAAAAUUUGUGUUUGGGGAUACAAAAUUUAAAUUUACAGUACUAUACUCCCUUCACUUUGAACUUCUAAACACUGAGAACUAAAUUGAGAACACUGUUGAUUUGAAGAUAAAGAGGCAUGCAACAUGUAAUUACUCUUAAGAAACGUAAAUGAAAACAUUCCGAAGUAAGUUUAAAGGCAAAAAGUACACCUUCUAAAUCACUGAACAAAAUUAAUUCGACAUUUCCCCAUUAGAUAGGCAACGCUUUUCAUUUCAGAAGUGAAGGUACAGGGGCGCCUGGGUGGCUCAGUCAUUAAGCUUCUGCCUUCGGCUCAGGUCAUGGUCCCAGGGAACUGGGAUCGAGCCCCGCAUCAGGCUCUCUGCUUGGCGGGGACCCUGCUUCUCCCUCUCCCACUGCCCCUGCUUGUGUUCCCUCUCUCGCUGUCUCUCUCUCUGUCAAAUAAAUAAAUAAAAUCUUAAAAAAGAAGAAGAAGAAGAAGUGAAGGUGCACCACUGGUGGGCGUACUGCCGAAUAGUGGCCUGUUACCUAUUCUCAUAAAAUCUCUUUGUAACGAAUACUGUAUUGGCAUAUGUUGCUUCACCUUGUUGCUGUUGUUGUUUUACAAGCUUGAACAAUUUGGAGGAAGUACCAGUGAACAGGUAAACUUCUCGUAUUUUCAAAUACGGUGCUCAUCAUUUUUAAAGUUUACAGUUGUCUGAAAUAACUGACAUCAUGUUUCUUUUUACAGAGAUUUGGCUUUUACCCACCACCAGGACCACCAUUUUUUCCUCAGAUCCUGUUUCCCCCACCUCUGCCUCCCCAACUGCCCUUGAUUCCAAUUCCUCUUCCUUUUCCUUUUCCUUUUGAUCCAAAUCAGGUAAGUAUACUUAAAAUGUCAUUAAGAAAGUAUUUAAAUGAAUACAAAACAAAAAAUUGAAAAUUCUUUAGAUUUAAUUGGAGAGAAACCUGAUACCAAGGAUUAAUAGUCAUCAUUCUCUUUUGGACCUUCAGUUAUUGGUAUUUUAUCUGGUUUGAGUCAUUUAAUGUACAAAUCUCACAUACCCUUGCAAACUGAACUACCUAAGACCUGAAACUUUCCUUGAUCGUGUGGAAGGAACCCAGGAAACUAGUAGAAAAAGCAUUUGAAGUCAAAUAAUCUAGGGAUGCAAA